GGGAUAAAUCAUACUUUCAGAAAAACAAGACGCUCCUGUGCUGUUUAGAAGCAGUUGUUUCAUCAGGUUCAUGGUCUUGGCCAACUCUGCCCACCCCUCCCCCCAUUUCUUGUGAGCUGUCUUCGGAGUCUCUUAUCAGGGACGGAUCUUGCCUGACAACAGACUGUGAACUGCAGCUUAGGUGGAGAAGCAGCAGAUCUUUAAGAAAAUACGUCCAGAGAUAGGACUUCCUAAUCCCAUUGGAUGAUCACAUAAAAACACAAUCAUCUUGCAGAUCACAUCCAGUACCGGUUGCUGGAACGCCGUUGUGAAGUAAAGUUGGAGACUUGAGCCUAAUGUGGGGAAGAAGAGACUUAUUCAAGGGAUACAUCCACUAUUUUCAACUAAAAGAGCUAGCAAAUAAUACAUGCCAACCCACUGACAUCUACAGAAAGGUUUAACAUUCCAUGCAAGAACAAAAGGAACUUAUGAUGUUGGAAAUUCAUUUGGGGCCUAAGCCUGUGGUGUGGUA